rnacentral:rRNA from 1 species
UACAGGGGGUGCAAACGUUGCUCGGAAUCAUUGGGCGUAAAGCGCACGUAGGCGGUUCGUUAUGUCGGAUGUGAAAGCCCUUGGCUUAACCGAGGAAGUGCAUCCGAAACUGGCGAGCUAGAGUACUAAAGAGGAUCGCGGAAUUCCCGGUGUAGAGGUGAAAUUCGUAGAUAUCGGGAGGAACACCGGUGGCGAAGGCGGCGAUCUGGGUAGAUACUGACGCUGAGGUGCGAAAGCGUGGGGGAGCAAACAGGG